rnacentral:rRNA from 1 species
UUUAUGGAGAGUUUGAUCCUGGCUCAGAGUGAACGCUGGCGGCGUGCCUAACACAUGCAAGUCGUGCGGGAUUGUGCAGAGUAUCGCAUGGUCUAGCGGCAAACGGGUGAGUAACAC